rnacentral:rRNA from 1 species
GUGGGGAAUUGUUCGCAAUGGGCGCAAGCCUGACGACGCAACGCCGCGUGGAGGAUGAAGGCCUUCGGGUCGUAAACUCCUGUUGAUCGGGAAGAACGGGUUCCGGGUGAAUACUCCGGAGCAGUGACGGUACCGAUUGAGGAAGCCACGGCUAACUCUGUGCCAGCAGCCGCGGUAAUACAGAGGUGGCAAGCGUUGUUCGGAAUUACUGGGCGUAAAGGGCGCGUAGGCGGCCUUCUUAGUCAGACGUGAAAUCCCUAGGCUUAACCUAGGAACUGCGUCUGAUACUGGAAGGCUCGAGUUCGGGAGAGGAAUGUGGAAUUCCAGGUGUAGCGGUGAAAUGCGUAGAUAUCUGGAGGAACACCGGUGGCGAAGGCGGCAUUCUGGACCGAAACUGACGCUGAGGCGCGAAAGCCAGGGGAGCAAACGGGAUUAGAAACCCCGGUAGUCC